rnacentral:rRNA from 1 species
CCUACGGGAGGCAGCAGUGGGGAAUUUUGGACAAUGGGCGCAAGCCUGAUCCAGCAAUGCCGCGUGAGUGAAGAAGGCCUUCGGGUUGUAAAGCUCUUUUGUCAGGGAAGAAACGGCCGGGGCUAAUACCCUUGGCUAAUGACGGUACCUGAAGAAUAAGCACCGGCUAACUACGUGCCAGCAGCCGCGGUAAUACGUAGGGUGCAAGCGUUAAUCGGAAUUACUGGGCGUAAAGCGUGCGCAGGCGGUUUUGUAAGUCUGACGUGAAAUCCCCGGGCUCAACCUGGGAAUUGCGUUGGAGACUGCAAGGCUGGAGUCUGGCAGAGGGGGGUAGAAUUCCACGUGUAGCAGUGAAAUGCGUAGAGAUGUGGAGGAACACCGAUGGCGAAGGCAGCCCCCUGGGUCAAGACUGACGCUCAUGCACGAAAGCGUGGGGAGCAAACAGGAUUAGAUACCCUGGUAGUCCACGCCCUAAACGAUGUCUACUAGUUGUCGGGUCUUAAUUGACUUGGUAACGCAGCUAACGCGUGAAGUAGACCGCCUGGGGAGUACGGUCGCAAGAUUAAAACUCAAAAUGAGUAGACGCGNGAGAGAGCGAGACGACGACGAGGGAGGAGG